rnacentral:SRP_RNA from 1 species
GUCCGGCUACUGUUCUUUUUAAGUUCAGUAGCUGUUACAUUCUUGGGACUGCAUUUCGAUGCAAAAGGAAUGGGAUGCUAUAAUAUUNCUGAGAAUUUUCANNNUCUUAAAAAUUCCCGCCUAUCACAAGACGUCAGUUACUGAACAUAUUCUUCUGGAGAGAGAAUAUGUUGAAGUAAUGAUGAAUCAUGAACCGCCUCAGGCUGGAAACAGAGCAGGGUUAGUGAUCGCUGACGUACGGUGUGAAGAUUACGGUUGAAUAAAAGGAUAUUUCGGAAUCUCAUAAGUAUAAUAUGUACACCAUUUU